UACUAGAGUAGCACUCGCAUAUCAAUAAGCGGAGGAAAAGAAACUAACAAGGAUUCCCCUAGUAACGGCGAGUGAAGCGGGAAGAGCUCAAAUUUGAAAUCUUAAAGGGUUUCCCUUUACGAAUUGUAGUUUAAAGAAGUGUUUUCUGUUGAGGUCUUGGUAAAAGUUCUUUGGAAUAGGACAUCAUAGAGGGUGAGAAUCCCGUAUUUGACCUUUACUUUCAACUUUGUGAUACACUUUCAAAGAGUCGGAUUGUUUGGGAAUGCAGUCCAAAAUGGGUGGUAAAUUUCAUCUAAAGCUAAAUAUUGGCGAGAGACCGAUAGCGAACAAGUACCGUGAGGGAAAGAUGAAAAGAACUUUGAAAAGAGAGUUAAACAGUACGUGAAAUUGUCAAAAGGGAAGCGUUUGACACCAGUGUUGUUUUUCUGAAAAUCAAUUAAAGAACUGUUUAUGCUAAGCUGUUUAGACUUUAUCAGCUAUCUGUUUAGUUUUGAGCUUUUCUUUAAUGCACUUUUCAGUUAACAAGUCAACAUCAAUUUCUUUUGCUGUAAAAAAGCUUGAGGAAGGUGGCUUGAGAUUCGUCUUAAGUGUUUAUAGCCUCUUGCCUAUGCAGUCGGAGAGAUUGAGGUCUGCAGCGUAGAUCCUUCGGGGCUAAAUGCAUUUGUGCUAAGUUAUAGCAUUUUAUAGACAACUUGUUGACUAUGAUUUGUCUUGUAGCUUACUCGCUUAUGUUAUUUUACCUACGCUUAGGAUGUUGAACUCUAUCACACACAG
rnacentral:rRNA from 1 species